GGGCGGNUCCCGCCCNCGACUCGGCGAGAAGUCCAUUGAACCUUAUCAUUUAGAGGAAGGAGAAGUCGUAACAAGGUUUCCGUAGGUGAACCUGCGGAAGGAUCAUUG
rnacentral:rRNA from 1 species